UUGUGCUUGAUCUAACCAUGUGGUUGUGAGGUAUGCGUAAAACAUGGUUCUGUCAAGCACCAUG
rnacentral:pre_miRNA from 1 species